rnacentral:pre_miRNA from 1 species
AACAUACUCCCUCCAUUCGGAAUUACUUGUCUCGGAUAUGGAUAUAUCUAGAACUAAAAUACAUCUAGAUAGAUCCAUUUCCGCGACAAGUAAUUCCGAACGGAGGGAGUAGAAA